GACGAACGCUGGCGGCGUGCUUAACACAUGCAAGUCGAACGGUAAGGCCCUUCGGGGUACACGAGUGGCGAACGGGUGAGUAACACGUGGGUGAUCUGCCCUGCACUUCGGGAUAAGCCUGGGAAACUGGGUCUAAUACCGGAUAGGACUCCUGGCUUCAUGGUUGGGGGUGGAAAGCUUUUGCGGUGUGGGAUGGGCCCGCGGUCUAUCAGCUUGUUGGUGGGGUAAUGUCCUACCAAGGCGACGACGGGUAGCCGGCCUGGGAGGGUGACCGGUCACACUGGGACUGAGAUACGGCCCAGACUCCGACGGGAGGCAGCAGUGGGGAAUAUUGCACAAUGGGCGCAAGCCUGAUGCAGCGACGCCGCGGGAGGGAUGACGGCCUUCGGGUUGUAAACCUCUUUCAGCUAUGACGAAGCGCAAGUGACGGUAGUAGCAGAAGAAGGACCGGCCAACUACGUGCCAGCCGCCGCGGUAA
rnacentral:rRNA from 1 species